UACGUAGGGGGCAAGCGUUGUCCGGAAUCAUUGGGCGUAAAGAGCGUGUAGGCGGUUUGGUAGGUCCGCUGUGAAAACUCGAGGCUCAACCUCGAGACGCCGGUGGAAACCAUCAGACUAGAGUCCGGAAGAGGAGAGUGGAAUUCCUGGUGUAGCGGUGAAAUGCGCAGAUAUCAGGAAGAACACCCGUGGCUAAGGCGGCUCUCUAGUACGGUACUGACGCUGAGACGCGAAAGCGUGGGGAGCGAACAGG
rnacentral:rRNA from 1 species